UACGUAGGGUGCGAGCGUUGUCCGGAAUUAUUGGGCGUAAAGGGCUCGUAGGCGGUCUGUUGCGUCAGGAGUGAAAACUCGGGGCUUAACCCCGAGCCUGCUUCUGAUACGGGCAGACUAGAGGUAUGCAGGGGGAGAACGGAAUUCCUGGUGUAGCGGUGAAAUGCGCAGAUAUCAGGAGGAACACCGGUGGCGAAGGCGGAUCUCUGGGCCAUUACUGACGCUGAGGAGCGAAAGCGUGGGGAGCGAACAGG
rnacentral:rRNA from 1 species